CGGACAGGGGGAACCUGACCGCCUGCCGCGUGAGUGAUGAAGGCCUUCGGGUUGUAAAGCUCUUUUGUGUGGGAAGAUAAUGACUGUACCACAAGAAUAAGCCCCGGCUAACUUCGUGCCAGCAGCCGCGGUAAUACGAAGGGGGCUAGCGUUGUUCGGAAUUACUGGGCGUAAAGGGUGCGUAGGUGGUUAUGUAAGUCAGAAGUGAAAGCCCUGGGCUCAACCCGGGAAUUGCUUUUGAAACUAUGUAGCUAGAGUUCGAGAGAGGUAAGUGGAAUAUCCAGUGUAGAGGUAAAAUUCGUAGAUAUUGGAUGGAACACCAGUGGCGAAGGCGGCUUACUGGCUCGAUACUGACACUGAGGCACGAAA
rnacentral:rRNA from 1 species